UAGGGAAUCUUCCACAAUGGACGCAAGUCUGAUGGAGCAACGCCGCGUGAGUGAAGAAGGUUUUCGGACCGUAAAGCUCUGUUGUUGGUGAAGAAGGAUAGAGGUAGUAACUGGCCUUUAUUUGACGGUAAUCAACCAGAAAGUCACGGCUAACUACGUGCCAGCAGCCGCGGUAAUACGUAGGUGGCAAGCGUUGUCCGGAUUUAUUGGGCGUAAAGCGAGCGCAGGCGGAAGAAUAAGUCUGAUGUGAAAGCCCUCGGCUUAACCGAGGAAUUGCAUCGGAAACUGCUUUUCUUGAGUGCAGAAGAGGAGAGUAGAACUCCAUGUGUAGCGGUGGAAUGCGUAGAUAUAUGGAAGAAUACCAGUGGCGAAGGCGGCUCUCUGGUCUGCAACUGACGCUGAGGCUCGAAAGCAUGGGUAGUGAACAGGAUUAGAUACCCUGGUAGUCCAUGCCG
rnacentral:rRNA from 1 species